ensembl:lncRNA
UUUACAUUAUACAUAUGCAUAGGGCAUUUAUUAACAUUUUAUUAACAUCUAAGCAUUUCAAGAUAGUAAACAGUGUGAGAAAUGAUUUGCUGUAAAUGGAGGGGCCGACUCUGUGAGGUGGAGCGACAAGGAUGGCGAGGGAAGGGCUGAGUGGGCCUCGCAGGUGCAUCUCUUUGCUGGCGGUAUAAUUGGGCAGUUGGGGGAAAACCUGCCAGUCCGGUUGCAGAAGUAGAAAAUUCCUGAACCUCAGGGCAGUGGGAAGUGAGCCGCACAAAUAAUUCCAAGGGCACCAGAGGUUCUUCCGCCAGCUUGUCCUCCCACCCCAGCUCUCCUACCAGGGGCCGCUGUUCACAGGAGUGGAGUGGAGAGGGCUGCGUGGCUGUAUUUCAAUUCCAGGAAGUUGAACUUGACCGCAGACGGGCACUUUGUUCGGGGGGAAGCUUGGAGGGAGAAGGUUGAAAUAGUUAAAUCUCCGCUCUCAGAAGGCUGACUCCCCAGAGGUAGGACUUAGUUGGGCAGCCCUGGGUGAGGGUAACCCAGCCCCUUCCCCACGGUGACAGCCCUGGAACGCCACCUUUCCUGGGGGAGGACCUGAGGAUAUCAGUGUAAACCCUCUCAGCUCCCCACCCGACCCAGCCUCCAGGGGGUCAGGGGAAAAAACAAAAGAGCCACAAAACCCACAAGACUCCUUUGCCCUAAAGAAGUAAUUCCUCCUACUGAAGCCACAAGUAGAAGUAAUCCAGACCUUAACCAAAAUUCCCCAGGGGCCAGCCCCUUGGCUGAGUGGUUAAAGUUCCACUCGCUCCACUUCGGCUGCCCCGGUUUGCGGGUGCGGAUCCCGGGUGCAGACCUACACCACUCGUCAGCCAUGCUGUGGCAGCGACCCACGUACAAAAUCGAGGAAGACUGGCACAGAUCUUAGCUUGGGGCUAAUCUUCCUCACAAAAGAAAAAAAAACCCCACAACCCCAGAGAGCCACUUUUUCAAGGUUAAACAAAACAGCAAAAUAAGAGGCUUUAAAGAUCACCACACUGACCUACCUGGAGGAGGGACACACCCAGCAGGCUUUGAAAAGAAAGAACUGGGCCAGGCAAGGAGGUGGAGGGGUGGGAAUGGGGUGGAGGGUGACCGGUGGGUAGGAAAGGUCUGCAGGGAGGGGAGGGGAGAGUGAGGAGUGGGAGGGCCAGGAGGGGGUGCUGGGCCUGGAGGGGGCAGGGCUGCCUCCUCCCAGAGGAACCCACCAACCUGCAGCCCAUGGGAUUGUCGAGCCAGAAAAUCCAAAAUAACAGACCAAGUGAAGCUUCUUAACAGGGGGUCUGCUGGAGUUUCUUAUAUCUCUAGUGUAUAAUAACCAGUAGCAUUACCACAUGUGGGCAACUGCCUGUUGAGAAAAUGUAAUUAAAAGGUAACUCCAUAUAUUACAAAAGAAAUUGAUAAUUCCUUAAGUAUAACAAUGGGAUUAUGGCUUUGUUAAAAAAGCAACAGAGAGUCUUUAUCUUUUAGAGAUCCAUACUGAAGCAUUUUUGGAGGGAAUGGCAUGAUGUCUGGAAUUGCUUUAAAAGAAUCCAGUGGGGAAUGGGGUGGAAGAAUAGAUUAAAAAUAGAUUGACCGUGAAUUGCAUUAAACACAUGAAAUGUUGCUCAACCCCCUUAAUCAUCAGGGAAAUGCAAAUUCAAACCACUAUGCACCCACCAGAAUGACUGAAAAACCAAACAAACCCCAAAACAAAAACCAAGAAAAACCCAGUGUUACUGAGAAUGUGGAGCAAUUGAUCAGAGCUCUGCUCCACGGCUGGUGGAGUGGAGAUAGGGUACCCCCAUGCUUGGCAGUGCCUACUAGAGGUGAAUGGACGCCUACGCCGUGAUGUGUAAUUGCACGCCUCAGUGUAAGAAAUGUGUGCAUGUAAAAAUAGAUACUAGAAUUGUUACCAAACCAGACUCGUUUUGCCCACCACCUGGGAGGCCAGUCACCGAGAUGACGAGUUUGCAGCAGAGAAUGUGUUUAUUCCCAAGGCAGCCCAGCGAGGAGACGAAAGAACAAGUCUCAAAUCCACCUCCCCAAAAAUGGGGAUUCAGGGAUAUUUAUGGGAUGAAGGGGCAGGGUGGUCUGAAGUGAGGGGAUAGAUGAUUGGAGAUGAGGAGCAGUGAGGUCCCUUGAUGGUCUGCGCAAGUGUAGUGAAGCUUCAUGGCUCUUCAUAGGAUGCAUGUUCACAAAAUGGCGGUGUUACCAUGAUCCGAGGGUGGAGUUUCCGGCCCCCUUGAAGUCAAAGGGUCAGCUAUUGGACAUUUCUCGCAGGCCCAGUUGAUGAGUUGGUGCUCUUAACCGGCCUGAACUGGACAAGAAGUGACUUGCCCGUUACCGUGGCGACCCGCCCGUCAUCAGAGAUGUCAUCUGUACCAUGGGCUUUGGUAACACAUUAUCCGACUACUUUUGGAAACGGACAACUCAGUAUGGUUAAAGCAAGUUGGCCCCCAGCUUCAGAAUGUUCGUUGCAGCUUUAUGUAUCACAGGCUCAAACCAGGAACCAACCAGAGUCUGCCCCCGGCAGACAGAUCAAUCAAUAGUGUGCAGCAGUGAGAAGCUUCAGCCACUUGCAACAAUGUGGAUGGACUGCAGCAGCCUAAGGUUAAGGGAAAUAAGCCAGACACGGAGGACUAAGCACAGUGUGACUCCGUUUAAUACAGUUCAGGAAAGAAGAACCCGGCAGCGAUGUGAGAAGCGAGAAGUAAGGAUAGUAAUCAGCCUCGGGGCGCGAGACGCCAGAUCCGACUUGUUUCUCCACCUGGUGGCUCGUUAUCGAUGGGCUCAGGUUGACGUUCUUGUGUGUAUAUUAUACUUCAAUCGAGAGUUAAAACAAACAUAUAAACAAAAAAAUGAGAUUGGCCCUGAGCUGAUCAUUGUUGAAUCUGGGCCAUGGGGAUAUGAAGGUUUAUCAUGCUGUUCUCUCUACUUUUGUGCGUGUGAAAGUUUAAAGUUAAAAAAAUUUUAAAUUUCAUAUGUGAUCCAGCAAUUCCACUUCUGAGUAUACACCCAAAAGAUCUCAAAGAGAUGUUAGUACACCCGUGUUCAUAGCAGCAUUAUUCACAAUAGCCAAAAGGCAGAGGCAACCCAAGUGUCCGCUGACAGGUGGAUGGAUGAACAAAAUGUGAUGUACACAUACAGGGGAAUAUUAUUCAGCCUUGAAAAGGGAGGAAAUUCUGACACCUGCUACAAUAAAGACCUUGAGGACAUUAUGCUAAGGGAAAUAAGCCAGUCACAAAAAGACAAAAACUGUAUGAUUUCCCUCCUAUGAUGUACCUAGAGGAGGCAAAUUUCAUAGAGACGAAGUAGGAUGUGGUUGCUGUGGGGUGAGGUCGGGUGGGUGAGUGGGAGUUAUUCAUCAAUGGGUACAGAGUCUCAGUUUUACAAGAGGAAAAGAGUGCUGGAAAUUGGUCGCCCAACAACGUGAACGCACUGAACAUUACUGAACUGUAGAUUCAAAAAUGGUUAAGAUGGUAAAGCUGACAUUUUACCACAA